rnacentral:rRNA from 1 species
UACGGAGGGUGCUAGCGUUGCUCGGAAUCACUGGGCGUAAAGGGUGCGUAGGCGGGUUUUUAAGUCAGGGGUGAAAUCCUGGAGCUCAACUCCAGAACUGCCUUUGAUACUGAAGAUCUUGAGUCCGGGAGAGGUGAGUGGAACUGCGAGUGUAGAGGUGAAAUUCGUAGAUAUUCGCAAGAACACCAGUGGCGAAGGCGGCUCACUGGCCCGGUACUGACGCUGAGGCACGAAAGCGUGGGGAGCAAACAGG